UCACCGGAGCCGUCAUCUUCUCUGUUUUACCGAUUU
rnacentral:sRNA from 1 species